AGGUGUGGGGAUGAUCUGGCUGUGACGUCCAUCACCCCAUUGAUCUCAAGGGUUGGUCCAACUGAUCUGACUGGCUAGGCAGGUGUCCCCUUCCUCCCUCAACCUCCUUGUGCAAACCUCCCAGUGCUCAGUGGAAGAGGACAACCACCCCACAUGAAAGAAGUGUACCAUUCUCCAGUCAAGAGUUCAGACAAAAAACCCACCACGGAUAUGCCAUCCCCUUUACUAUCUGUAAAGGUGUUUCCUGAUUAUCUUAACACACAAACAGGCUCAUAAAGGGAGAGGUGCUGCUU
rnacentral:sRNA from 1 species